AUUGAACGCUGGCGGCAGGCCUUACACAUGCAAGUCGAACGAAUGGCGGACGGGUGAGUAAUGUCUGGGAAACUGCCUGAUGGCGGGGGAUAACUACUGGAAAGAGUAGCUAAUACCGCAUACCAUCAGAUGUGCCCACAUGGGAUUAGCUAUUUGGUGGGGUAACGGAUCACCAAGGCGACGAUCCCUAGCUGGUUUUAGAGGAUGACAAGCCACACUGGAACUGAGACACGGACCAGACUCCUACGAGAGGCAGCAGUGGGGAAUAUUGCACAAUGGGCGCAAGCAUGAUGCAGCCAUGCCGCGUGUAUGAAGAAGGCCUUCGGGUUGUAAAGUACUUUCAGCGGGGAGGCGUUAGCCGCAGAAGAAGCACCGGCUAACUCCGUGCCAGCAGCCGCGGUAAUUC
rnacentral:rRNA from 1 species